rnacentral:rRNA from 1 species
UUUAUCGUAUGGUAAAUGCUUGAAAGGAGCAAUUGCUUCACUAUGAGAUGGACCUGCGUUGUAUUAGCUAGUUGGUGGGGUAACGGCUCACCAAGGCAUCGAUACAUAGCCGACCUGAGAGGGUGAUCGGCCACACUGGGACUGAGACACGGCCCAGACUCCUACGGGAGGCAGCAGUAGGGAAUCUUCGGCAAUGGGGGGAACCCUGACCGAGCAACGCCGCGUGAGUGAAGAAGGUUUUCGGAUCGUAAAGCUCUGUUGUAAGAGAAGAACGUGUGUGAGAGUGGAAAGUUCACACAGUGACGGUAACUUACCAGAAAGGGACGGCUAACUACGUGCCAGCAGCCGCGGUAAUACGUAGGUCCCGAGCGUUGUCCGGAUUUAUUGGGCGUAAAGCGAGCGCAGGCGG